AUUGAACGCUGGCGGCAUGCUUUACACAUGCAAGUCGAACGGUAACAGGCCGCAAGGUGCUGACGAGUGGCGAACGGGUGAGUAAUGCAUCGGAACGUGCCCAGUCGUGGGGGAUAACUACUCGAAAGAGUAGCUAAUACCGCAUACGAUCUAUGGAUGAAAGCGGGGGACCGUAAGGCCUCGCGCGAUUGGAGCGGCCGAUGUCAGAUUAGGUAGUUGGUGGGGUAAAGGCUCACCAAGCCAACGAGCUGUAGCUGGUCUGAGAGGACGACCAGCCACACUGGGACUGGGACACGGCCCAGACUCCUACGGGAGGCAGCAGUGGGGAAUUUUGGACAAUGGGCGCAAGCCUGAUCCAGCAAUGCCGCGUGCAGGAAGAAGGCCUUCGGGUUGUAAACUGCUUUUGUACGGAACGAAACGGCUCUGGUUAAUACCCGGGGCUAAUGACGGUACCGUAAGAAUAAGCACCGGCUAACUACGUG
rnacentral:rRNA from 1 species